ACUCCUACGGGAGGCAGCAGUGGGGAAUUUUGGACAAUGGGCGAAAGCCUGAUCCAGCAAUGCCGCGUGAGUGAAGAAGGCCUUCGGGUUGUAAAGCUCUUUUGUCAGGGAAGAAACGGUGAAAGCUAAUAUCUUUUGCUAAUGACGGUACCUGAAGAAUAAGCACCGGCUAACUACGUGCCAGCAGCCGCGGUAAUACGUAGGGUGCAAGCGUUAAUCGGAAUUACUGGGCGUAAAGCGUGCGCAGGCGGUUUUGUAAGUCUGAUGUGAAAUCCCCGGGCUCAACCUGGGAAUUGCAUUGGAGACUGCAAGGCUAGAAUCUGGCAGAGGGGGGUAGAAUUCCACGUGUAGCAGUGAAAUGCGUAGAUAUGUGGAGGAACACCGAUGGCGAAGGCAGCCCCCUGGGUCAAGAUUGACGCUAAUGCACGAAAGCGUGGGGAGCAAACAGGAUUAGAAACCCCAGUAGUCCCAUGA
rnacentral:rRNA from 1 species